rnacentral:rRNA from 1 species
GAUCCUGGCUCAGAAUCAACGCUGGCGGCGUGCCUCAGACAUGCAAGUCGAACGAUUAAAGCUCUCUUCGGAGAGUGUAUAGAGUGGCGCACGGGUGAGUAACACGUAAGUAAUCUACCCUCGAGUGGGGAAUAACGUCCGGAAACGGACGCUAAUACCGCAUAAUGCAGCGGCACCGCAAGGUGACAGUUGUUAAAGAUUUAUCGCUUGAGGAGGAGCUUGCGGCAGAUUAGCUAGUUGGUAAGGUAAUGGCUUACCAAGGCUACGAUCUGUAACCGGUCUUAGAGGACGGUCGGUCACACUGACACUGAAUAACGGGUCAGACUCCUACGGGAGGCAGCAG